ensembl:lncRNA
UCUUGCCAACGCUCUACGGAAAGGUUGUAGUCGUUCCCACUUUUGUCAGCAACACAGGAGAAGGUCCAUUUCCUGCAUCAUUACCAACACUGGGUCUUAUCUUUCUCUCUCAACUGCCUCCCACUGCAUAGUGAGAAUGAUACCAUUUUAUUUUCCAUAUGUAUGAUUACCAGUUAGAUUUGACCAUGUUGUACAGGUCUAUCUCCCAGCCACCCCUUUGGCUUCUGCUGGUGUUUAUCACUCUCAGACUUGAUCGCCUUCACCUGACCCCUCUCAUCAGGAAUAUUCAUCUCUUGCUGCAAUAGACCCAGUUUAGAAGGUAAACUGCACAGAGCUAGGUUGAAUUUUAAAAUAACAGUAAUUUUAGGGUAAGAAAUUAGAUCUUGGGUGAUUUUUCUAUCUGAGAGACUGUGGAAGAGCUAAGAUUUUAGAAAAGCUAGGGGCAAUAUAGGAAGGUGUGAUCAUUAGACCUUCUGUGUGACUCUCCAUGUAGCUAUGACCUAAGAGUGUCUCGUUCCGAAGAAUCCCUCAGAGUGUGCAUUGAAAGGGGAGGGAGGUCCCUUCAUAAAAUAUACUUCCAGGGCCAUAAUUUUCAAUUUAGCGACUGUUGGAGGGCUUUCCUGUUCUUCCUUUGCUCCUCAACCUAGCCCUGUCUGGGAGCACAGCUGAUAAACUGACCCCAGUACAUCUAAAAGAAGCAUAGAUAUUUUUCUUUUCUUUUUUUUUUUUUUGAGAUGGAGCCUCACUCUGUUGCCCAGGCUGGAGUGCAGUAGUGCGAUCCCGGCUCACUGCAACCUCUGCCUCCUGGGUUCAAGUGAUUCUCGUGCCUCAGCCUGGGACUGAGGCUGGGACUCAUCCCUGUAGCUGGGACUACAGGCAUGUGCCACCACACCGGCUACUUUUUGUAUUUUUAGUAGAGAUGGGGUUUCACCAUGUUAGCCAGGCUGGUCUCGAACUCCUGACCUCAAGCAAUCCACCCGCCUUGGCCUCCUAAAGUGCUGGCAUUAUAGGCAUGAACCACUGCGCCCAGCCAGAUAUUUCUUUUCUUUUCUUCCUUUCUUUUUUUUUUUUGUUUGAGAUGGAGUUUCACUCCUAUUGCCCAGGCUGGAGUGCAAUGGUGUGAUCUCAGCUCACCGCAGUCUCCACCUCGCAGGUUCAAGCGAUUCUCCUGCCUCAGCCUUCCAGGUAGCUGGGAUUAUGGGCACCCACUACCACAUCUGACUAAUUUUUGUAUUUUUAGUAGAGACGGGGUUUCUCCAUGUUGGUCAGACUGGUCUUGAACUCCCAACCUCAGGUAAUCUGCCCGCCUCGGCCUCCCGAAGUGUUGUGAUUACAGGCGUGAGCCACUGCGCCUAGCCAGAUAUUUCUUUAUACCAGUAAUACACAGUUGUUGUAAAAAGAUUAGGAAAUAGGCCAGUAUAGUGGGGCAUGUCUGUAGUCCCAGUUAUGCAGGAGGAUUGCUUGAGCCCAGGAGUUCAAGGCCAGCAUGGGCAACAUAGAGAUAACCCCUCUCCACUCCCCCAUCUCCAUUGCGGAAAAAAAAAAAAAA